UACGAAGGGGGCUAGCGUUGUUCGGAGUCACUGGGCGUAAAGCGCACGUAGGCGGAUCCUUAAGUCAGGGGUGAAAUCCCGAGGCUCAACCUCGGAACUGCCUUUGAUACUGGGGAUCUUGAGUCCGGGAGAGGUGAGUGGAAUUGCGAGUGUAGAGGUGAAAUUCGUAGAUAUUCGCAAGAACACCAGUGGCGAAGGCGGCUCACUGGCCCGGUACUGACGCUGAGGUGCGAAAGCGUGGGGAGCAAACAGG
rnacentral:rRNA from 1 species